GACGAACGCUGGCGGCGUGCUUAACACAUGCAAGUCGAACGGAAAGGCCCUGCUUUUGUGGGGUGCUCGAGUGGCGAACGGGUGAGUAACACGUGAGUAACCUGCCCUUGACUUUGGGAUAACUUAAGGAAACUGGGGCUAAUACCGGAUAGGAGCCCCUGCUGCAUGGUGGGCGUUGGAAAGUUUCGGCGGUUGGGGAUGGACUCGCGGCUUAUCAGCUUGUUGGUGGGGUAGUGGCUUACCAAGGCUUUGACGGGUAGCCGGCCUGAGAGGGUGACCGGCCACAUGGGGACUGAGAUACGGCCCAGACUCCUACGGGAGGCAGCAGUGGGGAAUAUUGCACAAUGGGCGGAAGCCUGAUGCAGCAACGCCGCGUGCGGGAUGACGGCCUUCGGGUUGUAAACCGCUUUCGCCUGUGACGAAGCGUGAGUGACGGUAAUGGGUAAAGAAGCACCGGCUAACUACGUG
rnacentral:rRNA from 1 species